rnacentral:rRNA from 1 species
CCUACGGGAGGCAGCAGUGGGGAAUAUUGCACAAUGGGGGAAACCCUGAUGCAGCGACGCCGCGUGAGUGAAGAAGUAAUUCGUUACGUAAAGCUCUAUCAGCAGGGAAGAAACACUGACCUUACGGUCAGCAGACGGUACCUGAGUAAGAAGCCCCGGCUAACUACGUGCCAGCAGCCGCGGUAAUACGUAGGGGGCAAGCGUUAUCCGGAUUUACUGGGUGUAAAGGGAGCGUAGACGGGGCGCCAAGUCUGGAGUGAAAUGCCGCAGCUUAACUGCGGAACUGCUUUGGAAACUGGCGAACUAGAGUGCGGGAGGGGUAAGCGGAAUUCCUAGUGUAGCGGUGAAAUGCGUAGAUAUUAGGAGGAACACCGGUGGCGAAGGCGACUUACUGGACCGUAACUGACGUUGAGGCUCGAAAGCGUGGGGAGCAAACAGGAUUAGAUACCCGGGUAGUC